CGAGGGUAUACAUAACUAUAGUUUUAGUGUUUAGUUUUUUCAAUAGGUAAGUCAAUGAUUAUUUCAACUGAAAAGCCUGUGUAUGCGAGUACGCGAGACAAUUGAGAUAGAAUAUUAGUUGACUUAAGUUUAAUUGUUUUUGCCAAAGGCGUUUAGGUUUUAUUAAAAAAUGAUAAAUGGGUGGGCAGUUUGGCGGGCAGUUUAAAUAUUUGUUUAUUGUCUCGUACGUGAUGUAAGUUCCCGCCGCCAUUUUGACAUAUAGAUAGCUUU